rnacentral:snRNA from 1 species
AUUAAAUUAAAAUACAUAACCAA